rnacentral:rRNA from 1 species
GACGAACGCUGGCGGCGUGCUUAACGCAUGCAAGUCGAACGAGGUCCAUGCAGUGGCAACACUGCGGAAGACCGAGUGGCGAACGGGUGAGUAACACGUGAGGAACCCACCCCGGAGACCGGGAUAACCCUCCGAAAGGAGAGCUAAUACCGGAUGUCCUCACCGGAUCGCAUGGUCUGGUGAGGAAAUGGAUUCCGCUCCGGGACGGCCUCGCGGCCUAUCAGCUUGUUGGUGAGGUAACGGCCCACCAAGGCAUAGACGGGUAGCUGGUCUGAGAGGACGGUCAGCCACACUGGGACUGAGACACGGCCCAGACCCCUACGGGAGGCAGCAGCGGGGAAUAUUGCGCAAUGGGCGAAAGCCUGACGCAGCAACGCCGCGUGAGGGAUGAAGGCUCUCGGGUUGUAAACCUCUUUCAGCAGGGACGAAAACAGACGGUACCUGCAGAAGAAGCCCCGGCCAACUACGUGCCAGCAGCCGCGGUAACACGUAGGGGGCGAGCGUUGUCCGGAUUUAUUGGGCGUAAAGAGCUCGUAGGCGGUUCGAUAAGUCGGGUGUGAAAACUCUGGGCUCAACUCAGAGACGCCACCCGAUACUGUUGUGACUUGAGUCCGGUAGGGGAGUAUGGAAUUCCCAGUGUAGCGGUGAAAUGCGCAGAUAUUGGGAGGAACACCAGUGGCGAAGGCGGUACUCUGGGCCGGAACUGACGCUGAGGAGCGAAAGCGUGGGUAGCGAACAGGAUUAGAUACCCUGGUAGUCCACGCCGUAAACGUUGGGCACUAGGUGUGGGUCUCAACCAACGGGAUCCGUGCCGCAGCUAACGCAUUAAGUGCCC